GUCAUGUCCUGCACAAGCUGCCGUUCGAAGUCUUUAACCCACGAUGAGCAUAUCUCGUGCGGCACGGUCCAGUCAUUUGACAAUUUUGACCCCCAAACCUACCUACGGCCGCGACGGCCCCAUCGGAAGUUACAUUCAGGUGCAAAGAGUAUAAUGGACAGGACUUUUCAAAAUUAUCCCUGGCAAGUUAGAGUCGAGGUGGAUAGCGUUGAGGUAGAGGUCCCUGAGGUGGGUAUUGAGUGGAUUUAAAUGUAAUGCUAUUGACUUUUUCUUAACUUUCAACAAAAAAAUUCAUGGUUACAGUUACGGAACUAUUUGUUCUGUUUAGUUAAUAGAUUAUUAUGGGCAUCAAAGAAUGUGUAAAUUUUGUCUGUGCUAAAUUUCUCGAGUUUGACAUCUGAAAAAGAAGUAUUGGUAUCAAA